UCUUUAUGCGGUCAGGGACGCGGUCCAUCUGCAGCACGUCGAUGUUGUCCGGGAUGGGAGUCACAGCAUAGAUCUGUAAAUCUGCACAUCGCCUUGUCAAAGAAAGCCACGGGACAUGAAACAAGAAAGCUGCCUCUACUCUGUGUACUUCAUCAGCUGAUGGAUAAGGAGACCAUUCUCCUUAUUCAACAGAAAGAUACCUUUGCUCCGUACACACACGGCAUUCAGUCCUAUAGUUCUGUCUGGUCUGCUUUUCAGAUAACCAAACGAAUAGCUGCUACAGAACUCUUUCCAGUGUGAUCCAUGCAGAUGCUACUGCUCAUGGGCUUAGACUGUGCUUCUCAACGUGCGCUCUGUAUGGAUCAGUAGGGAGAGCCAGGAGGAGGGUGCAUCCUAAGGAGAUGGCUACGUUAGUAAUCUGCUAUCAGAAGUACUGCUACUAAAUGUAAUUGCAGAACUAGCAAGGAUUAUAACUGUGUAUGCUUAUAUUUGUUGUUAACAUCUCCAGCCAAGCAUUUAUACUGACAUGGCACUUCACAAUGGUGCAGUGUAAGGCCAGGCAGGAUCCAUGACAGAACUGUAGGACACAGAAUGCAGCAAGAUGCACGAGGAUUCACUGACAGUACUUCUAACAUAGGAACACUGAUGUGCCACCAUGACUUGGCUGUCACUUAUUUUCUGCAACACCUGUUGUUAGAUAUGAAAAAGGAAACUGUAUUUUCUUAGGAGACCUUCAGGGAAGGGGAGCUUCACACUGCAACACUGCAUUCCUUCGCAUGCUGCUCUGAAAUGCUGAUUGAGUCUCCUGCGUUAUGGCACUGUCCAGCUUCACCUCUGAGUGUAAUAAUGCCACCCUUUAUCUGCUGAUAUUUCACCUUGAUUAACUCCAGCUUGCCUCCAUGAAAACGACGUAAUUAAACACCCAUAUUUUAACCUCAGCUACAACACAGCAGAGGGAAGUUUAAGAAUGCCAUUUUCAGAAUGCGUACCUUAUGAAACAAAAAUGGCAAACAGUUUUGCUUUUCUUUUUAUAACUUAUUACUGUAUUACUCAAGGGUGGUGCCACCUCUUGUCAAGCCCUAUCUUUAAAGAGAACACAAAACCUUGCUGCUCCAGCCCCUGAAAGCACGCUUCAGGUUAGCUUGGCCUGUCAGUCUAUAUGGCAUCUGCCAUCAAUUUUCAGGUAGCUUUUCCAGCAGGUGUCAGAUUGUAUUCCCUCCUUACUCCGAAGCAGCAACAAGAAGCUGUAUGAACAAAUGCCUCAUUAGGAAGGGAAAACAUUUUCACUUUUUCAGAGCCUGCUGACCCUGCGCACAGCAGCACACAGUAAGCUCAAAGUGAGGACAUGUACGGAGAAGCUGAUGGGCUUUCUGCUUAAUACAGGAAAACUUUUGCUUGUAGAGAGCAGAAGAUUGUCAUCAGUCUGGUACUAGAAUCAUUCUGUCAUGUGAGAUGUUUUUAAAAGCAUGACAAUUUGAGAUGAAAGUUAGUAGAAAUAAUGACCCACCAUCACUGCAACAGAGCAUUCUGCUUAAUAAUAGAGGUAAAUUUUGCUGACGUGAGAUUGCCAAAAAUACAGACAGGCACCAGUCAGAUUUCUGAUCCGUGUUCCUAAGAAUAUUCCCAACAAACAACGCCCUUCAGAUCUGUCAGAGAGCUGCUCCUGCUUAUGCAAGUGUAAAAUACACAACGAACAGCAGAUGUCGUAUCUCCACAAGCAGAAUUCAGAGCCGUGACAGCUACUUGGAGCCCUGCUGUCACACGUGGCCUAACUCUGGCUCACCCGCAGGAAGAAUGGGAAUUUUCGACCAUAAAAUCCAACUCUGAAGAACUCAGGUUCCAGGCGCUGCUGCUCCAUGAUGUUAUCGUAAUAGGUGGCUUCCAUUUUCUGCGGAGGAAAAAUGACAGCUGCCGUCAGACUCCUAAACCUGCACUUAAAACACGAGAAUCUCAAGGUGCGUUACAGUACCACAGUGCUCUUCUGCAUACACACUGCUUCUCUUAAUGAGAAGAGCGAUACUCUUUUAACCAUUAAGAUCAUUAACCGAACGGUCCACGUGGUGGACAGACCAUAAUAUCACCCAGCUCAUUUUGCAUUCUGGGAGAUGACAUAUGGCCUUUUUUUCCUGUUGCAUUUCAUUUUAAAUGAAACAAGUCUUGCAUGUAAUCCUCUGUGCAUUGCAGAGCUAAGGGCCAAGCUGAGAUCCGGGCCUGUGCUUUAACACACCGCUCCCCCCAGCUCAGAAUCUACACUGCUGUCUGAAAUAUUGUACCAAUUCAAUUGGGUUUGCCUUAAUCGAGUUGAGGAGGAUGAAAAAGGACAAAACAUAAUUAAAUCUUCUCCAGCCCGGUAUACCAAUAGGUUCAACACAGAAGAAAAAAGGAGUUUGGAAGGAGGACUUUUCUUCAGUCCCAAUUAUUAUUUCUAUGGCGCUGUGCUGGCACUGCACCAGGAGUGGGAUUUCAAACCCCUUUGCCAAAGCGAGUCUCUGAAACGCUCACAAGGAUUUCAUUAUAUCCAAAGAGAUAA